UAAUCCAUCUGCCUCGACUGUAAAGCACUUUGCGUCGACUCCUGUUGUUUUUAAAUGUGCUAAAUAAAUAGAAAUGACUUGAAUUUCCACCAAGUUACAUUGGUUACAUUUCUCUCACAAACACACAAGAGGGCAACUUGUGUAUCUGGGUGAACCGCACUUCUAAACAUUACCAAGCGUCUGAGUCUCGGUAACCAGGGCAACAGAUCACAAGCAUGUCAUUCUGAAUGAAUUCUACUAACUACUAUAUCUCAUGAAACUCUUUUGGUUUCAUUAUUUCUCAUGUCUAUCCAAGCCUGUGAAAAUGUAGUGCAUGCAUUAGAGUAGGAUGUGCACGAAAAUAUGGGACAAAUCGCGUCCCGUAUGGAUUCUGUAAGUGACAGUGCAUUUAAUUUUUUAAUACGGGACGAUCUCGUAUUAUACGGGACAGGUGACAACCCUAUUAUCAAACUAGCUAGUGAGAAUUGAAUGAUAAUUUGCCUGGAUCUAUCCUUCGCCUUGGGACCAACGCUGUGGACUGUAUCCACGAUGUCUUCAAGUUUGUGCUGCAGGUGUGGAGCAAUUUCGGCUAACAACGAGACGACUUCUUUUCGGAUAUCUUCACCCGCUGUUUCUGUCAUUCCGAUAACUCUGAGUGUUAGACUUCAACAAUUUUGGGGGCUCGGUCCGGGAUUGGAA